rnacentral:rRNA from 1 species
UACGUAGGGACCAAGCGUUGUUCGGAUUUACUGGGCGUAAAGGGCGCGUAGGCGGCAAAUUAAGUCAGCUGUGAAAUCUCCGAGCUUAACUCGGAACUGUCAGCUGAUACUGAUGUGCUAGAGUGCGGAAGGGGCAAUCGGAAUUCUUGGUGUAGCGGUGAAAUGCGUAGAUAUCAAGAGGAACACCUGAGGUGAAGACGGGUUGCUGGGCCGACACUGACGCGGAGUGCGCGAAAGCCAGGGGAGCAAACGGG